rnacentral:lncRNA from 1 species
UUACUCCAAAUUUGCAGUAACACUGUAAGAGGAGAGAGAGAGACAGAAAGUGGAUGAUAUAACUGUUGUUUUGGUACUUGGAAUUUUCUAUAGGUAUAGAUUCUUGUCUUUGCUGAAUUUUUAUGAGACUUUGUUUUGGAUCCUUUUAUCUUAAUUGUUUUGACUUUGUUUUAUUGUAGUAAAGUGUGCCCCCCCAUUUGUAGGUUCCACGCUUCUGGUCUUGAGGUUCAAAAAGCUCUUACUUGAUAUUUGUAGAUAAAAUUCCAGCAGAUAUCAGCACUUAUACUUCCAUUGGUAGAAUGUUAACUUCAGUCAUUUUUAUACAUUUCCUAACCCCACCCAAAUAUUCC